AUUAUUCAGAAUGGUUUUAUUCUAGCCAAUUUAAUUAUGAUAAGUUAGUUUAACAUGGAAAUUAAUUAAUUUAAAAAGGAAUAGAAUGUUCAGUUUUUAGGAUUUUACAAUUAAAUUAAGUUUAGAUGAAGCUAAAUUUAUUAAUGUUGGAACAAAGUGUGCCAGCAUCCGCGGCUAGACAUGGGAUGUAAAUAAUUAUGAUCAGUUGGAGUGAAAAUGAGAAAAUGAUUUAAUCUAAUUAUUUUAGUGAAAUGAUAUUAGUUAGAACGGGAGAAGUUAAAUGAUUUUGAAGCUUAGGAGAUAAUAUUAUAAACUAGGAUUAGAUACCCUAUUAUUAUUAAUUAAAUUAAAUAAGGAUUAAGGUAGUAUUAGAUAUAGACUUGAAACCUAAAGAAUUUGGCGGUGUUUUAGUCCGUUCAGAGGAAUCUGUUCCAUAAUCGAAAGUACACGAUAAUAAAUACUUGGUUUAUAUGGUUUGUAUACCGCCGUCGUAAGAAUAUUUUAAGAAGGAAGGAAAUUUUCUUUAAAUAAGAAUGUAUUGUAUGUCAGGUCAAGGUGCAGCUUAUAAUUAAGAGGAAAUGGAUUACAAUAAUGAGAAUUAAUUAUAACGGAAUGAUUAAUAGAAUUAUAAUAAAGGUGGAUUUGAAAGUAAAUUUAAUUUUAUAUAUAUUGAUUUAGGCUCUAAAACAUGCACACAUCGCCCGUCACUCUCGUUAUAAAUGAGAUAAGUCGUAACAAAGUAGAUGUAUUGGAAAAUGUAUCUAGAAUG
rnacentral:ncRNA from 1 species